rnacentral:rRNA from 1 species
UACGAAGGGGGCUAGCGUUGCUCGGAAUCACUGGGCGUAAAGCGCACGUAGGCGGCUUUUAAGUCAGGGGUGAAAUCCUGGAGCUCAACUCCAGAACUGCCUUUGAUACUGAGGAUCUUGAGUUCGGGAGAGGUGAGUGGAACUGCGAGUGUAGAGGUGAAAUUCGUAGAUAUUCGCAAGAACACCAGUGGCGAAGGCGGCUCACUGGCCCGAUACUGACGCUGAGGCACGAAAGCGUGGGAGCAACAGG